rnacentral:tRNA from 7 species
GCUUGUCUAGCCUAGUUGGUAGAGUACAAGGCUCAUCACCUUAUGGUCCUGGGUUCAAACCCCAUAGUUAGCA